rnacentral:rRNA from 1 species
UUCGUCCAGGGGGCCGCCUUCGCCACCGGUAUUCCUCCAGAUCUCUACGCAUUUCACCGCUACACCUGGAAUUCUACCCCCCUCUACGAGACUCAAGCUUGCCAGUAUCAGAUGCAGUUCCCAGGUUGAGCCCGGGGAUUUCACAUCUGACUUAACAAACCGCCUGCGUGCGCUUUACGCCCAGUAAUUCCGAUUAACGCUUGCACCCUCCGUAUUACCGCGGCUGCUGGCACGGAGUUAGCCGGUGCUUCUUCUGCGGGUAACGUCAAUGAGCAAAGGUAUUAACUUUACUCCCUUCCUCCCCGCUGAAAGUACUUUACAACCCGAAGGCCUUCUUCAUACACGCGGCAUGGCUGCAUCAGGCUUGCGCCCAUUGUGCAAUAUUCCCCACUGCUGCCUCCCGUAGGAGUCUGGACCGUGUCUCAGUUCCAGUGUGGCUGGUCAUCCUCUCAGACCAGCUAGGGAUCGUCGCCUUGGUGAGCCGUUACCCCACCNACUAGCUAAUCCCAUCUGGGCACAUCCGAUGGCAAGAGGCCCGAAGGUCCCCCUCUUUGGUCUUGCGACGUUAUGCGGUAUUAGCUACCGUUUCCAGUAGUUAUCCCCCUCCAUCAGGCAGUUUCCCAGACAUUACUCACCCGUCCGCCACUCG